rnacentral:rRNA from 1 species
UGUUCUGGCAAGGCGCCGUCCGAGUUCCCUGGAACGGGACGCCGGAGAGGGUGAGAGCCCCGUACAGGCGGACGCCGAGCCUCUGUGAAGCUCCUUCGACGAGUCGAGUAGUUUGGGAAUGCUGCUCAAAGCGGGAGGUAAAUUUCUUCUAAAGCUAAAUAUAGGCCAGAGACCGAUAGCGCACAAGUAGAGUGAUCGAAAGAUGAAAAGCACUUUGAAAAGAGGGUUAAAAAGCACGUGAAAUUGUUGAAAGGGAAGCGCCUGUGACCAGACUCGCGCCCGGCGGAUCAUCCGGCGUUCUCGCCGGUGCACUCCGCCGGGCUCGGGCCAGCAUCGGUUCUGGUGGGGGGAUAAAAGCGGCGGGGAUGUGGCUCCCCCGGGAGUGUUAUAGCCCGCCGCCCAAUGCCCUCGCCGGGACCGAGGACCGCGCAUUUUGCAAGGAUGCUGGCGUAAUGGUCACCAGCGACCCGUCUUGAAACACGGACCAAGGAGUCAAGCAUUAGGGCGAGUGUUUGGGUGUAAAACCCGCACGCGAAAUGAAAGUGAACGUAGGUGGGAGCCUCGGCGCACCAUCGACCGAUCCUGAAGUCUUCGGAUGGAUUUGAGUAAGAGCCUUACCGCUUGGACCCGAAAGAUGGUGAACUAUGCUUGUGUAGGGUGAAGCCAGAGGAAACUCUGGUGGAGGCUCGCAGCGGUUCUGACGUGCAAAUCGAUCGUCAAACAUGAGCAUGGGGGCGAAAGACUAAUCGAACCAUCUAGUAGCUGGUUACCGCCGAAGUUUCCCUCAGGAUAGCAGUGUUGUUUUCAGUUUUAUGAGGUAAAGCGAAUGAUUAGGGACUCGGGGGCGCUAUUUAGCCUUCAUCCAUUCUCAAACUUUAAAUAUGUAAGAAGCCCUUGUUGCUUAAUUGAACGUGGGCAUCGAAGAUCAC